GUUCUCUGAUCUGCUAAAAGUGUUUAGAAAAAAAGAUUCAAGAUGUGAUGGUGCCAAUGUCUCAGACCAAGCAAUAGUUCAUUCUCAAGGGGCAUAGCAUCUACCUGAAUGAAGAUGAAUGUGAUGGAGUAUUUGGAUGAUAACCAUGCAAGAACCGAAGCGGACAUCAAGAAGACCUUUUUGGGAUUCUGUGAUGUAAAGCAUGAAUUUGCUGAUGCAACAGAAGACCCUGAAGAUAUCGGCAUUGUGCUGGAAGAUGUGGAGGUGCUCUCUGGUUUAGGUAAUGUAGCAUUGGCUACAGCCAUGCUACUUGGACUAAUAUACUUUUUAAACCUUACUUAUCCACGAGUUUCAUUAAACUUUUAAGGUGCUCCAAAAAAUUAUUCUUGAGCGGGACUCGCGUAAAUUGUCUGCCAAAGCACAGGCGCAGAAAACUAAACUCUUCACUUAGGUGUGCGGUGUUUGAGGAUCCCUUUGUGAACGCUGUGUUUUAUUUCCUUGUAUGCUCAUGUGUUUUUGUUGUGCCUGAAUUUUUGCACGAUGAGCAGAGGUGAUUAAGUCUCUCAAUCUCAUUUAAUCUCAUGUUUAAAAAAAAAAACAAAAUAAAAUAAAAUUUUGUUGUUUUCUUAUAUGCUCAUGUUUUAUUUGCAUUGUCAUGUUUUAACUUAGUGAGCAUGUUUAAUUGCCAUAUUUGCAGUUUUAAGCAAGAAGACACGCAAGGUUAAAUGUGCUCAUGUUUUAAAUACAGAUUUUUACAAAAUG